rnacentral:rRNA from 1 species
UACGAGGGGUGCAAGCGCUGCUCGGAAUUAUUGGGCGUAAAGGGUAGGUAGGUGGUCUCAUUUGUCUGGGGUGAAAGCCUUGAGCUUAACUCAAGAAGUGCCCUAGAAACGGUGAGACUGGAGUCUUGGAGAGGGUCGUGGAAUUCCCGGUGUAGCGGUGAAAUGCGUAGAGAUCGGGAGGAACACCAGAGGCGAAGGCGGCGACCUGGACAAGUACUGACACUCAACUACGAAAGCGUGGGUAGCAAACAGG